rnacentral:rRNA from 1 species
CCUACGGGUGGCAGCAGUGGGGAAUAUUGCACAAUGGGGGAAACCCUGAUGCAGCGACGCCGCGUGAGCGAUGAAGUAUUUCGGUAUGUAAAGCUCUAUCAGCAGGGAAGAAAAUGACGGUACCUGACUAAGAAGCCCCGGCUAACUACGUGCCAGCAGCCGCGGUAAUACGUAGGGGGCAAGCGGUAUCCGGAUUUACUGGGUGUAAAGGGAGAGUAGACGGCGAUGCAAGCCAGAUGUGAAAGCCCGGGGCUCAACCCCCGUACUGCAUUUGGAACUGGAGAGCUGGAGUGUCGGAGAGGCAGGCGGAAUUCGUAGUGUAGCGGUGAAAUGCGUAGAUAUUAGGAGGAACCCCAGUGGCGAAGGCGGCCUGCUGGACGAUGACUGACGUUGAGGCUCGAAAGCGUGGGGAGCAAACAGGAUUAGAUACCCCUGUAGUC